GCACGCGCGGAGCAAGGACUCCCCCUAGUGGAGCUUUUCUUAAAGAAAUUGCAUGUGUAUAGCAAUAAUAUUGUCCUAAUAUUGUCCUUUUUCACACUCAGGCAUGCAUAGUGAUGUAGACAAAGAUGCUCAAUCAGAACUUAGAGUCACUGAAUAUAUUUAUUUUGUACAGACACCCAGUAUAUUUUACAGCAGAACAUCAUGGGCGGAAACCGGAGAACCCACAGAGAACCCACAGAGACAUGGGGGCAGCAAGUCCACACAGGCGGUCCUUAAAACAGCUCUGAUUCGUCAAGGCCUGGACUCAACAGGACCUCUGAAGGUAUGCUGUGGUAUCUGGCACUGAGACGUUAGCAUGUGGGGCCUCAUUAUUGCCUCCACUGACUCGCCCUCAUCCCAUAGUGCAUCCUGAUGUCACGUCUUCCUCAGUCUGUCUGUCUGACUGCCUGUGGAGAGCUUCUGCGAAUCCGAACUCUUCUGCAGCCCAAAGUCCUCUCACCUAGACGCAAUAAUGUGAUGAUCAUACUGAAGUAAUGCCUGCGGAUUCCGUGCCUGCUGCACCCUUCAGGAGAACAUCUUUUUGAGUCUGGAGAAAAAUCCGCCUUCCUCUUUCUCCUCCGGCUGCUCCUCGUCACGACUCUGGUCCGCUCCGGAUUCCUUCUUUGCAUGCUGAGAGCUUGCUACACGGGUACACACGGGCAAACACACACACACACACACACACACACACUUGUCCAUCUUGGCCUCUGUGUAACAUCACUGAAGAAAUGGAUGUAGCUUGAAAAGGGAACACUGUGUGCAUUGAAAGUUUAACGUAAAGAGAGUUUUGUGUGUGUGUAUGUGUGUGUGCGCACUGUACCUGGUGCUGAUCGACUCACUCCGUUCACAGACCCCUCUACAUCCGUCUCCUCCUCGGCAUAACCAAGGAUCAGAUCCCGCUGUCUCUGUGUCAGCUUCCUUCCAAAAAAAACCUAGUAUAUAUUCAUACUUCUUUCAUAUAUUCUCUAAUGUGUGUAUGUGUGUGUACGUGUGUAAAAGUCUCUUACUUGGGCACUUUGAUCUUGAUGUGAACGUAGUGGUCUCCGUAGCCAUAGCCGCUCACACGGGCGAUUCCUUUACCGCCCAGACGGAUCUUCUGGUCCGUCUGAAUCCCAGGAGGAAUCUGAGGGGUUAAAAAAAGGUGCGAUCCUCAAUGCAGGAAAAAAUAAAAGACCUCCUUCGGUACUUUUAUGAAUACCAGCUCUUCCAAAGCUUUGGAUAAAAGUAAAUAUGUUUAUCAUAUUUAUUCAUUUUGCCUGUACUAGACUCUUAGCUGGCUUUUAAACAAACAAACAAACAAACAAACAAAUAAAUAGUGCCCUCUA